rnacentral:rRNA from 1 species
CAGCCGCCGCGGUAAUACGUAGGGUGCGAGCGUUAAUCGGAUUUACUGGGCGUAAAGCGUGCGCAGGCGGCCCGUUAAGACAGGUGUGAAAUCCCUGGGCUCAACCUAGGAAUUGCGCUUGUGACUGGCGGGCUCGAGUACGGUAGAGGGGGGUGGAAUUCCUGGUGUAGCAGUGAAAUGCGUAGAGAUCAGGAGGAACACCGAUGGCGAAGGCAGCCCCCUGGGCCUGUACUGACGCUCAUGCACGAAAGCGUGGGGAGCAAACAGGAUUAGAUACCCUGGUAGUCCACGCCCUAAACGAUGGGUACUAGCCGUUUGGUGCGCGAUAGCGCUGAGUGGCGAAGCUACCGCGUGAAGUACCCCGCCUGGGGAGUACGGCCGCAAGGUUGAAACUUAAAGGAAUUGGCGGG